CUCGACAUUCUUCGCGGCUUCGGUCAGGCAGCCGGGGUGCAAAUAAAUCCUGCAAAAUCGACCGUCACUCCCAUCCACUGUGAAGAGAUCAACCUCCUAUAUAUCCUGAGUAAUUUUGGUGGGGCAAUAGUGGGAUUCCCCUUAAGAUACCUAGGCCUCCCACUAACAUCAAGGCUGCGCCUAGUCCACAUCCAGUUCAUCCUUGAUCGGAUUAGGGCAAGACUUGCGGGAUGGAAGGGCAAGCUCAUGACCAUCGCAGGCAGAAGGGUUUUGGUGUGCAACGUGCUCACGGUGUUGCCUACCUUUGCCCUGUCUAUGCUCCGAGCGCCAAAGAAAUUUCUUGCUGAGGUUGACAAAGUCCAUAGAAGAUUCCUAUGGGCAUAA
rnacentral:rRNA from 1 species